rnacentral:lncRNA from 1 species
UUUGUUUUUUAUGUAUGGAAUGUUUUGAAUAAAAAGGAUUUUUGUUGAAUAUUUUCUUUAUUGACUAAAAGAAAAGCAAUACAACUAAUAAUAAAAUAAAAUACAUGAAUUAAACAAAACAAAAAAUACAAUGAAAUGAAACGUACAUGAAUUAAAGAAAACAAAAAAUACAAUGAAAUCAAAGGUACAUGAAUUAAAGAAAACAAAAAAUACAAUGAAAUCAAAGCCAAGUAAACUAAGACAUGAAAGGCAAACAAACUAGUUUAAUGGUUUCCAUCAUUUAACCAAUCCGUGUUGCUAGGUCCAUCGUCACGAAAAAGUCUUCGUCUCAUAAUAUCCCUUCGUUCUAGCUUCCAAUAUUG